rnacentral:rRNA from 1 species
AUGAAAAUGUUCCCCAUACAUUCCGGAUCUGCAGAAGAUAUGAAAACCAAAGCAAACAACUUUAUACUUCUGAAGGUGUUGCCCGUAUUUAAUGUCUCCUACAAAUCUUUGUUCGGCAUACUUGUAAAGAAAUAUCAGAAUUGCAGAUAUGCCGCUUUCGAUUCACACAUACCUCCAAUCUUUGAUCAAUCUCCAAUCUUCACAAGGAUUUCUAUCCACUACACUAGUUCCUUUACAGAGUGCAGGAGACAGAUAUGGCGGCAUAUCUUUCCUAUAUACGUAUUAUAUUAUAUUUAUAAAGUUUAG